UACGGAGGGUGCAAGCGUUAUUCGGAAUUACUGGGCGUAAAGCGCACGCAGGUGGCUGAGUCAGUCGCUUGUGAAAGCCCUGGGCUUAACCUGGGAAUUGCAGUCGAUACUACUCAGCUAGAGUAUGGGAGAGGGCAGUGGAAUUCCCGGUGUAGCGGUGAAAUGCGUAGAUAUCGGGAGGAACAUCAGUGGCGAAGGCGGCUGCCUGGCCCAAUACUGACACUCAGGUGCGACAGCGUGGGGAGCAAACAGG
rnacentral:rRNA from 1 species